AUUGAACGCGCUGGGGAGAGGUGAAAGCAAUGAGAUGCCCUCAUGGGAUUUUUGUCAUCUUUGUGAUGUUGAACUUCAGAUGCUGCGAAAUCCAUGCUGAACGUGACUGAAUAAACCCC